rnacentral:rRNA from 1 species
GAUAAACGCUGGCGGCGCACAUAAGACAUGCAAGUUGAACGGACUUAAUCGAAAUAUUUAUAUUUUGAAGCGGUUAGUGGCGGACUGGUGAGUAACGCGUAAGGAACCUGCCUAUUAGAGGGGAAUAACAGUGAGAAAUCAUUGCUAAUACCGCAUAUGCCAUAGAUAUCACAUGAUAACAGUGGGAAAGGAGCAAUCCGCUAAUAGAUGGCCUUGCGUCUGAUUAGAUAGUUGGUGGGGUAACGGCCUACCAAGUCGACGAUCAGUAGCCGGACUGAGAGGUUGAACGGCUACAUUGGGACUGAGAUACGGCCCAGACUCCUACGGGAGGCAGCAGUCGGGAAUAUUGCGCAAUGGAGGAAACUCUGACGCAGUGACGCCGCGUAUAGGAAGAAGGUUUUCGGAUUGUAAACUAUUGUCGUUAGGGAAGAGAAAGGACAGUACCUAAGGAGGAAGCUCCGGCUAACUACGUG